AUUACUCCACCAAAUGCGCGUGACGUCAUUAACAACGGCCCUAUUUUUAUUUUUUUUGAAUGAUUGAAGUUUGUGUGUAAAUGUACGUUUGUGACCAACUUUUGAUGUCAUUUCGAGUAAGAAAUUAGUGGACAAACUGGACAAGAUGCCCUGGGAGGAUGUAAAAAAGGAGAUGGUGAAUGAGAAUGGUCUUUCGGCGGAUGUGGCUGAUCAGAUCGGGGAGUAUAUCAGCAUGCAGGGAGGGCAGGAUCUGGCCGAGCGGCUGCUUCAGCACCCCAAACUGUCCCAGAGCAAACAGGCCUGCGCUGGCUCACGGAUAUGAAGCUGCUCUUCAGCUACCUGGAGCUCUUCCAGGUCACAGACAAGGUGGUGUUUGAUUUGAGUCUGGCUCGAGGACUGGAAUACUACAGUGCUUUGAUUUGAGAGCGAUUCUCUCACAGACCAUCCCAGCACUGGUGUCCACGCCUGCAGAGCAGAACGGGGCAGAUGAAGCUGGCAUAAGCGUUGGCAGUGUGGCCGGCGGAGGGCGAUAUGAUGGUCUGGUGGGAAUGUUUGACCCCAAGG